rnacentral:rRNA from 1 species
CCUAGCGUGUGCGCGAGUCAUUGGGUGUAAAACCUAAAGGCGCAAUGAAAGUGUCAGGGGUGCCUCCUUUAGGAGCGCAUCCCGCAGGGAGGAUGGGCCGCCGUACGAUCACUCGUCGGAGCCCCGCACUCCCGGGGCGUCUCGUUCUCAUCACGAGUGGAGACGCACCAGGAGCGCACACGCUGGUACCCGAAAGAUGGUGAACUAUGCCUGGCCAGGACGAAGCCAGGGGAAACCCUGGUGGAGGUCCGAAGCGAUUCUGACGUGCAAAUCGAUCGUCUGAGCUGGGUAUAGGGGCGAAAGACCAAUCGAACCAUCUAGUAGCUGGUUCCCUCUGAAGUUUCCCUCAGGAUAGCUGGCUCUCGGGAAGAGACGAGUCUCAUCCGGUAGAGCGAAUGAUUAGAGGUGAUGGGGUCGAAACGACUUCAACCUAUUCUCAAACUCCCAAUAGAUGAGAGCCCCGGCUUGCUUAAAAGUGAAGCCGCGGGAUUCGGAUCAGAGAUGC